AUUGAACGCUGGCGGCAGACUUAACACGUGCAAGUCGAGCGGGGGAAGGUAGCUUGCUACCGGACCUAGCGGCGGACGGGUGAGUAAUGCUUAGGAAUCUGCCUAUUAGUGGGGGACAACAUCUCGAAAGGGAUGCUAAUACCGCAUACGUCCUACGGGAGAAAGCAGGGGAUCUUCGGACCUUGCGCUAAUAGAUGAGCCUAAGUCGGAUUAGCUAGUUGGUGGGGUAAAGGCCUACCAAGGCGACGAUCUGUAGCGGGUCUGAGAGGAUGAUCCGCCCCACUGGGACUGGAAGACGGCCAAGACUCCUACGGGAGGCAGCAGUGGGGAAUAUUGGACAAGGGGGGGAACCCUGAUCCAGCCAUGCGGCGUGUGUGAAGAAGGCCUUAUGGUUGUAAAGCACUUUAAGCGAGGAGGAGGCUACUCUAGUUAAUACCUAGGGAUAGUGGACGUUACUCGCAGAAUAAGCACCGGCUAACUCUGUGCCAGCCGCCGCAGUAAGAC
rnacentral:rRNA from 1 species